CCCUUAGAUGUUCUGGGCGGCCCGCGCACUACAUUGGCACUCUCAAUAAGUUCCUAGAUCUAAAACUUUGGGGUAUUCUAUUAAGUGGUGUCGUGACUGGGAUUAACCCUUGCAAUUAUUGGUUACGAACGAGGGAUUCCUUGUAAUCGCGGUUUAUCAGCCCGCGUUGAAUGCGUCCCUGCCCUUUGUACACACCGCCCGUCGCUCCUACCGAUGAAUCGUCCGGUGAAGUUCAUGGAGUGGUGGUUGUUCCAGCUGCUGUCGAAGUGAAAUGGACCUCACGAUUUAGAGGAAGGAGAAGUCGUAACA
rnacentral:rRNA from 1 species